UUGAGGGUGAGUUUCUCACUAGAAAAUUGAAUUUGCUUUUUCAUGUCUGGUCUUUUUCUUUCUUCUCUUAUUAUUACAACUUGGGUCAUAAUGGAAUAUUGAUCUGUUCAGAUUCAGUUGGGCGGUUGCAAGGAACUGAUGUCAGGCAUGGAGGUUGCCAAAGAUUAAAAACUAGUAGACGGAACUGUUGCACAGGAAUCUGGAAAAUCCAUGCCGUCAUCUCAACAGGAGGUAUUAAUUCAAGCCCUCCGUCCCAAAUUGCAGAGUUGAGAAGGAAAGAGGAUGCAAUAGCACGAGGUA